UUGCGAUCCUUUUAUACAUAAUCUCAAUAUUUAAUCAAAAUUUUUAAAUAUUUCUCCCACUACAAUCAUCAAAGAUCUACACUAUAAUGUCCCUAGUAUCUAUCCACUUACACCCAUUCUAUAUCUGAUUCUAUGUUUCAUAAUUCAUCCACUUAUGCUCUGAUACCACUUAAUUGUCACGCCCCCGACCCGAGAUUGUGAAUCGAGGGUCAUGGCAACCGCCGCAUACUCAUAGAAAACUCUUCCCAUAAGCAUGCAAGGCAUCUUAUCAUACUAUCCUAAAACAACAGCGAAAU
rnacentral:lncRNA from 1 species